rnacentral:rRNA from 1 species
CGCGUAGGUGGUAGUGCAAGUCUGGGGGUGGAAUCCCAGGGCUUAACCCUGGAACUGCCUUGGAAACUGUAUUACUUGAGUCAGUGAGGGGAGGGUAGAAUUCCUGGUGUAGCGGUGAAAUGCGUAGAUAUCAGGAGGAAGGCCUGUGGCGAAGGCGGCCCUCUGGCGCUGAACUGACACUGAGGCGCGAAAGCGUGGGGAGCAAACAGGAUUAGAUACCCUGGUAGUCCACGCCCUAAACGGUGGGUACUAGGUGUAGGGCUCGUAAGGGUUCUGUGCCGAAGCGAAAGCAUUAAGUACCCCGCCUGGGGAGUACGGCCGCAAGGUUGAA